UAAGGAUGAGCAAGUCGAAGCUAGGUGUCCCCUCAGACUCGCUCAGCAGGAGCCUGAAAAUUGGGGUCAGAAAUCCAGUAUGGAAAAUUUUGACCGCUGUCAGAAGGAAGUUACUGAAUUCAUUGGAGAAUGAGUGUUUCCUGAAUUUGUGUAUGGACAGUUUCUGUUGACCGUCUUGGAAUACUGAAAGAGCACAAAUUAGCAGGCGUCCCUCAGCCCACUGCCGUUGCCAUGCCGGAUCAUCCGUUUACUACCCUAAGGUUCUGUGACUCACUAACUAAGGACGAGGGGGGUGGAGCGUGGGAGCAGGAGACGCGGAGCCCUCCCCCAGCUGGCACCACGCUCACCACCAACCCAGGAGGACCGCUUACCCAGUCCUAGUCUAUUGUCUUUCUGCCCACGACCUCAGUCUUCAUUAGUAAGCAACUCCGAGGGACCCCUGCCAGUAGUGGACACCUGACUUAAAGUCCCCUGCCCCCCUCUGCUUUUGUCUGCCCUGGAAGUGUGAGGGUGGCAGAAGAUGAGACCUAGAGAGGAGAGCCGAGGCGGUGCCCAGGGCUGGAGGAGGAGAGAAUGGCUUCAGAACGGCUGCUUACCCAGCCACACGGCCGAGGGUCCGGGGUUCAGGCCCAGCCCACGUCACAGUUGAGAAAGAAUCCUGGGCUGGGGCGGAUUCGGAGCGAGCAAGCAAAGCAGGCGUUCCGUAUGAACUGCGCCCGCCCACAGCACGCAGGGCUCCCCACGCGCGACCGCUCAUCGUGCCUUUCAGAAGCUAAAACACAGGCUUCCCUCCGUCUUUGUUCCCUUCCUUCGCUGCCGUCGGCAACUCUGUCAUUUUCUAAAAACACCCUGGUGGGAGCAUGUUAAGGCCAACUGUAUCCCAUUGCUCCAACAGCCCCAGAGCCUUGUACCUUUCCGUCUCAAUAAAGGCU